rnacentral:piRNA from 1 species
UCCUUAUAGCCAUUGGUUGUUUCAUGGUU